GACGUAGGGGGCCAGCGUUGCUCGGAAUUACUGGGCGUAAAGGGUUCGUAGGCGGUGUGGCAAGUCGGAAGUGAAAUCUCCAGGCUUAACUUGGAGGCUGCUCCCGAAACUGCCAUGCUAGAGUGCGGGAGAGGCGAGUGGAAUUGCAGGUGUAGCGGUGAAAUGCGUAGAUAUCUGCAGGAACACCCGUGGCGAAGGCGGCUCGCUGGACCGCAACUGACGCUGAGGAACGAAAGCUAGGGAGCAAACAGG
rnacentral:rRNA from 1 species